rnacentral:rRNA from 1 species
GAACGGUAACAGGAAGCAGCUUGCUGCUUUGCUGACGAGUGGCGGACGGGUGAGUAAUGUCUGGGAAACUGCCUGAUGGAGGGGGAUAACUACUGGAAACGGUAGCUAAUACCGCAUAACGUCGCAAGACCAAAGAGGGGGACCUUCGGGCCUCUUGCCAUCGGAUGUGCCCAGAUGGGAUUAGCUAGUAGGUGGGGUAACGGCUCACCUAGGCGACGAUCCCUAGCUGGUCUGAGAGGAUGACCAGCCACACUGGAACUGAGACACGGUCCAGACUCCUACGGGAGGCAGCAGUGGGGAAUAUUGCACAAUGGGCGCAAGCCUGAUGCAGCCAUGCCGCGUGUAUGAAGAAGGCCUUCGGGUUGUAAGUACUUUCAGCGGGGAGGAAGGUGUUGAGGUUAAUAACCUCAGCAAUUAACGUUACCCGCAGAAGAAGCACCGGCUAACUCCGUGCCAGCAGCCGCGGUAAUACGGAGGGUGCAAGCGUUAAUCGGAAUUACUGGGCGUAAAGCGCACGCAGGCGGUCUGUCAAGUCGGAUGUGAAAUCCCCGGGCUCAACCUGGGAACUGCAUUCGAAACUGGCAGGCUAGAGUCUUGUAGAGGGGGGUAGAAUUCCAGGUGUAGCGGUGAAAUGCGUAGAGAUCUGGAGGAAUACCGGUGGCGAAGGCGGCCCCCUGGACAAAGACUGACGCUCAGGUGCGAAAGCGU